rnacentral:sRNA from 1 species
ACCCUGGGCCUACCUGGUAGGCACAUUUCACAGAGUCCAUGGACUCAGCGGAACCGUCAUUGUACAAAGAGCAUGAAGUCACUGCUUUUGAGCACCUCCCGGGCACCGUGUUCCGUGUCGUUUAAUCCUGCCAGGGAAGUGAUUUCAUCACUUGCCCUUUACAGUUGCUUCCAGGGGACAUCUGCUGAGAGGAGCCAGUCAAUAUUGUAGAGAAGUUCAAAGAAUACUCAUCAUUAGCAGUGUCAGCUUUACAACCAGGAGGUUGACGUCCAAGGAUGGAAGCAUUGUUAUGAUCAUAGAUUAUUUGCUGAGGGUAGGGCCUGGUUUCUGACUCAGGCUUGCUCACGAUGUGGGUGAAGAGGUGACGCUGAGGGAGACUAUUCAACCAGCCAUCCAGAAGCAGAAAUAAACAUCCACAAUGACAAUUAUUUCCUUUAACAUCACCUCCAGAAGAAAAAAAAUGGCCCCUGGAGUCAGGAAUGAAGGCUUUCACAGGGUAGAGGGCCUGUUUGAAGCAGAAACCAGUGUUGACAGAGUCAUCGUCCUCUCCAUAAAUCGUCCCCAGAGCAAGGAACUGGCCUCCUCCCUCUUCUUACCAGCCAGCCACCCACCCCAACUCAAACCUGCUUUGCAGUCAGAAAAAGAUGUGUGUUCAUCUAUCUGCAUAUUCAUUAAAAUGCACCAAGUCUUGCAAAUGGC